UCCUGAGUCCUUCGGAAGGGUGGAACAAACGUCCAAACAGAUAAACCGCAAGCAGGGGCUUCCUUUCUCUCGCACCCUUUUCUGCCCGUAUCUCUCUCCUUCUGUCUCUCCACUUCCUAGCUCUUAACAGAUACAGUGACCUUAAGGACAAUGAAAAGGUUUGCUCAUCCUGGGACGCUGACCCAUCAUUCCCCAUCUGCUGACUAGCACAGAGGCAGGAGACCAUGGACCCUUGGGGAACCCAUGGAAGAUGAUGGGGAAUUUGAGGCUGUUAGCAUCAGAGCACGGGUCCCAGAAGCCCUAACAAGCUAAGCUCAUUACCUCUCUUCAAUCGGCCACUUAAACAGAUAAUAGUGAAAAGCAGAGGAAGGAAGAGGAGCAAAGAGGGCCUCAUGUUCCCCUGAGGUCCACAUCUGGGAGCCCGACGUGAAGCUGGGUUGAAGAAGAGGGCAAAGCUGAAUUUCCCAUCCCAGCUCUUGGGUUUUCAUGAAAGGAAGCCAAGCACAUGGAAAGCUCCAGGCAGCCCAGCGGGAGAAGAGGCUCCCGUGGCCUUGGUGACUUCAUUGUUUCAUUGUGGACAGAAGUGGUCAGUGUUCGGCUGUCACAUGGGGCAGUGUCACAUCUUCAGCUGAUGCACGGGAAAGCAUAGGCCUUUAGCUGCCAAACCCAGAAGACCUGAGAAAUUUUUCCUGUGGAGGAGAAACCUGAGAAAACUGGUGGUGAUGUCCAUGUGCUGAGUUAUACAGCCUGAAUGGGAGUCUGUCUACCUCCUAGUCUCCCAGAGAGAGGUGACAUUCCGCCAGGAGUUCGAUUCUGAAGCUGCUGAAUUUGAACUGCUUCCGUCACAUCCAGGUGAAGAUACCCAGCAGGCCGCUCCAUACACAGAGCUUGCUGCCUGGCUGGGAAUACGAGAGGAAGACAGGUGUUGUCACACCAAAUGCCAGAAUCCUAAGAUUGGAUCCUGGAGAGAGGAGCCUGGAGCUGGUGUCCUAAAGAGGGCUAUUGGCCGGACGUCUGAGUACUCUGGUCAGUCAGAGAUUACUGUGACCAUCUGGACUACGGUUUUAUGAGUGAGAAACCCAGAACAUUCCUGUCAGAAUCUUCUAUACAUUAUAUGAAUUUAUGAAUAAAUGAACAUACGAGUAGAUAUUUUCUUACAUCUUGUAAAGAAUAUUCACUGCCAUCCAUCUUUGAACUUCUAUUUCCCAGAAAGUGUCAGCCUUCAGUAAGCAGUUGACCGGUGCUAUGGGGUUUUGUAAAUAGUGACAUUAGU